ACGAAGGGUGCAGGCGUUAAUCGGAAUUACUGGGCGUAAAGGGUGCGUAGGCGGUUCGUUAAGUCUGUCGUGAAAUCCCCGGGCUCAACCUGGGAAUGGCGAUGGAUACUGGCGAGCUAGAGUGUGUCAGAGGAUGGUGGAAUUCCCGGUGUAGCAGUGAAAUGCGUAGAGAUCAGGAGGAACAUCCGUGGCGAAGGCGGUCUGCUGGGCCGUUGCUGACGCUGAGGCGCGCCAGCGUGGGGAGCAAACAGGA
rnacentral:rRNA from 1 species